CCCGUGUCUGUCUACAGGUACCCCACAGGUGUUGCGGCGCACCCACACAGUGACUAGCACUCAGCAGUGAAAAGUGAAGGGUUGACAGACGGCACCACCCGGAUGAAUUUCAAAAUCAUUACACUGAGUGAAAGAGGCCAGACAAGAAAGUGCAUAUUGCAGGAUUCCAUUUACACAGAAUUCUAGAAAACGCAAACUAAAGUACAGUGACAGAAAGCAGAGCAGUAGCUGUGGGGAUGGGGGCAGGGAGAGGCAGGAACAAGGGCGUACUGGGGGACACGGUAACUUCCGGGGGCGAUGACAUCUAUGUGGACUGUCUUAUCGUGGUGAGGGUCUCACAGGUGUUCACACGUCAACACCCAUCCGCCUGCACGCCCGCACCACACGCGGCUCCUUGUGUGCCAGUGCCACCUCUAUGAGGCUGUCAAAGAAAGGGGGAGAAUCAGCAGCCGUGGCACGUGGCAAGUCCCCAGAAUGUCGAUUGAGGCCACUCAUGUCAAAGCCUCGUGGGUGGUGGGCUGCUGCUAUCCACACGCACGUGUCAACACCUGACAAGUAUGAGAACCAUCCAGAUGACCUCAGUGUGUAUACCUGGCGGACAUCCAUGUGUAAAUGUACACACUCUAGCAGUUACAUAAUUUACCUUAACUUCCCCUCCUCAAUCCUAGAACAAUUCUCUCAUGUUGAAAGAAAUUGCUCCUCAUCAGCAACCACCUGGAGCUGGGCGUCCCAGGCCCUCUGCACUCUGCUUCUAAUGCCCGUGCAGACGCAGCCAGGGCAGCCAGAAGUGAGAGCGGCCAUCAGAGAUGGAGGACAGUGGAAAGGGCCAGGGGCCCCGAGCAUGGCUGGGGGACGAGGCAGACAGAGAGGAGACUGAGGCACCUGUGGCCACAAGGUGGCAAGGCCAGGGGGAGGGGCUUCUGGGCCAACAGACAGAUGGGGGUCCACGCUGGAGUUCCUCUGCAGAGGGAGGCCAAGAAGUGACCAAUGGAAGGAAGGGUGAAGGCGGAGCUGCCUUCUGUACAGCGCCACAUGGGGCUGGAAAGGGCACCCACACCAAUGGGCGCUGCCAUUUGCCUGAAGAACAGCAACAGAAACAACUGGAAGCAAGACACAGCUGUGUUUCUCAGGGGUCUGAUGUGGCGCUCUGCCCUUCCUGGUCUCAGAGUCACAGCGUCCAACCGGCCUCCGGUGACUGCCCUUGAUCCCUGUGCAGCUCGCCCUCGAGGGUUUCUGCCUUACCUUCGCUGGGGGCCGAGGGAUGCCCAAACACGGUCUCUCAGCUUCCCCCCAAUGCCACGCUCACAGCCUUUCCUGAGGCCGUGAACCCAAGUGCUGUCCAUUACUUUCAGCCAUCAGCGCAGGCCAUCUCCACUAGCGGGCUCCUUUCAAGGCCAACACCCUUCGACCGUCCUUAUUUGUCUGUACCUGAAGGAAAUGAAUGCAGUCAGGACAGUUCACCAGUUACAUGCAGAUACUACCAUAGCGUUUACAUGGUUCUUGAAAAGUCUCCAAAGUUUCAAAGGACAAACGCUCCAAGGGCCCAGCUGUGCUGUGGGCUGACCCAGCGUCCUGCAGGCUCGUCUCUGAAGCAGAAGGCCGGCACAGAGGUGCAGAGGGGCUGCCGUCCAGGGCAGUUCCUGGGGAGGACGUCCCCAAGAGUCCCCAUGUCAGUCGUCUGUCAGAAAGCAAGUGUGGGCCAUCAUCGCAGUUCCCCACGCAGCCAGAGUGUGGGGGCCCAAUCCCGGGGCCGUGCAGAAGGAGGAACAUAAGCAUUGUCUCCAGCCGCCCUCUGACCUGUAUUCUGCGCAAUACCCGUUCAGUUCCUGGGCAUCCCUGCCCUCCACAUCUGAAGGGAAAUGGCGCUCAUAACCGCCUUGCUGCGGAGCGUUUCCGAAGAGGAGCGAGAGUGGACUGGGACCCAAGACCCGACAAACCAGAAGAUUCAUCGCUACUCAAACUGUCACUUGUCUGUGUAAGCAUCUGGAGACCCUGGAGCUUUCCAGGGCAUUCCAAAACCAGAUUGCAAGUGCUCAGCACCUCUCCCGGCAAAGCCCCUUGCUGCUGAAAACAUCUGUACGCCUCCCCGCCCCCGGGCAUCUUUGGGUCCCAAGGUGAAAACAGGAGCUCAGGGUAAAACUGACUUAGCUUAUUCAGUAGAACCAACAGGAGGACAUUAUACUGGGGAGGUGCACCCCUUCUUUAGUAAAGAAGAUUUAUUAAAGGUUCCUGACAGGCCUGUCAGAGCGAAAUCGCUCACUUACUGGAGUGAUGGAAGUGGACAUCAGAGUGCACGGAUCUGUGCUCCUCCCAGUUUCCAUCAUGUGGCACUUGGUGCCCCAAUUCCGGUUGGGCCACGGUCGGACAAAAUGAGAGCAGAGCCCAAGCGCAUGGCCUCCUGCCACUGUCUCCUGCCCUCCAUGAGGAUAGGUA
rnacentral:lncRNA from 1 species